GUUUAAAAUCACAGCAGAGACUCAAUAGCAACAGAGAAAUACAAAUUUUAACCCGCCGGUCUCAUCGAGUCUGGACCUAGAGGUUUCUGCCCGCGAGUUGGCAUCAAGGCGAGGCCAAGUGACGCGAGGGUUACGUCAGAUCUCAGAAUGCUAUGAUUUCAUGCACGAUCUGAGAGCUAUAAGCAAUGGAAACUGCCUCGAUGGACUUGAACUCUCUUCUUACCCAAGAACUGCAACAUUAACAUAUAAUAAUUCAAGCUGCAUCUCUAUAACAACUGAGUGUACCAACUGCACAGAUGUAGAGAUUGGAGAUACUACAGUACUGCUCCUCCUCUGGUGCUGUGGCGCUGUGGAUCAAACAUCAGUAGGUCCUUGCACAA